rnacentral:pre_miRNA from 1 species
AGACAAGCCAAUGUUUGGUACUGUGGUGAUGAAGACAAGCCAAUGUUUUGUACUGUGGUGAUGUAGACAAGCCAAUGUUUGGCCAUCACCACAGUACAAAACAUUGGCUUGU